GACGAACGCUGGCGGCGUGCUUAACACAUGCAAGUCGAACGGAAAGGCCCUGCUUUUGUGGGGUGCUCGAGUGGCGAACGGGUGAGUAACACGUGAGUAACCUGCCCUUGACUUUGGGAUAACUUCAGGAAACUGGGGCUAAUACCGGAUAGGAGCUCCUGCUGCAUGGUGGGGGUUGGAAAGUUUCGGCGGUUGGGGAUGGACUCGCGGCUUAUCAGCUUGUUGGUGGGGUAGUGGCUUACCAAGGCUUUGACGGGUAGCCGGCCUGAGAGGGUGGCCGGCCACAUUGGGACUGAGAUACGGCCCAGACUCCUACGGGAGGCAGCAGUGGGGAAUAUUGCACAAUGGGCGGAAGCCUGAUGCAGCAACGCCGCGUGCGGGAUGACGGCCUUCGGGUUGUAAACCGCUUUCGCCUGUGACGAAGCGUGAGUGACGGUAAUGGGUGAAGAAGCACCGGCUAACUACGUG
rnacentral:rRNA from 1 species